CAGUGAGUAACUUGUGUCUGCAAACCUGAAGUGUCCACUUCUGUUUGAAGUCCACAUACCAGACUGGACCGCAGAAACUCAGCCGUCACUGAGGACACCUCACGCUGUCGCUGUGUUAUGUCUACAUCUCGUCUGCAAGCCUCUGAUGCUCCAGCUGUGGGUGAUUAUCGUCAGCGUCUCAGUUUAUCACACGUCUGUUGGGGCUAAUUUUAUAAUCUGACCGUGCCGGUUCACAUCAGUUUGGUGCUAAUACUGCCAGACUGUUUGUUAUCACGUCGUCGUCACGGGGGCUGCUCGCAGGAGCUGGUUCAUGGAGUCCAGCUUGGUUCUCAUCCAGGUCUGUGUGCUGCUGUGAAGAGUCCCACCGACUGCUGUCAGGAUCACAGCCGGGAGGAGGUGGAGGAGGACAGCUGCUGUCAGAGAUAAGAUCAGCCGGUGUCAGAGAGCCAGGAUUAAAUAAGUAAAGAGAACGCCACCACUGAAAUAAUCCUCAGAGGUUUUACUUCCUGCACACAAGUGAACACGAUGCUUAUAUUCUUUCAGAAGCUCUUCUGUCCGGCCGUUCCAGUGUGUGGCUGCUCCUCCCUGCAGCGCUCAGCAGAGGAGUCCUGCUGGUCUGGGAUCAGAAGCUGGAGGCUGCAGACCGCAGAGGUCAGCAGCAGCAGUGAGGGGCCGACAUGUAGGUUUAUCCCUGAGACUAAAUGGAAGGAGACAGAAGUUAAUUCACCACGCGCACACACACAACAGUGGUUGCAUGGCUUCCUCCGAGCUGAGGUCCGGCCGCUGUGAUUUAGACCAGACGGCCCAGGACGGAGGAAGGCCUCCAUCACUUCCUGCUGCCAAACGGUACCGCUGGGGAAACACCAGCCGGGACCUGUAAAGGUACGAUCUGACACAUCGGGAGGUUUACUGAGAAAAGCCAAAGUGGGGUCAA